rnacentral:rRNA from 1 species
GGGUUGUGAGGUUAAGCGACUAAGCGUACACGGUGGAUGCCCUGGCAGUCAGAGGCGAUGAAGGACGUGCUAAUCUGCGAUAAGCGUCGGUAAGGUGAUAUGAACCGUUAUAACCGGCGAUUUCCGAAUGGGGAAACCCAGUGUGUUUCGACACACUAUCAUUAACUGAAUCCAUAGGUUAAUGAGGCGAACCGGGGGAACUGAAACAUCUAAGUACCCCGAGGAAAAGAAAUCAACCGAGAUUCCCCCAGUAGCGGCGAGCGAACGGGGAGCAGCCCAGAGCCUGAAUCAGUGUGUGUGUUAGUGGAAGCGUCUGGAAAGGCGCGCGAUACAGGGUGACAGCCCCGUACACAAAAAUGCACAUAUUGUGAGCUCGAUGAGUAGGGCGGGACACGUGGUAUCCUGUCUGAAUAUGGGGGGACCAUCCUCCAAGGCUAAAUACUCCUGACUGACCGAUAGUGAACCAGUACCGUGAGGGAAAGGCGAAAAGAACCCCGGCGAGGGGAGUGAAAAAGAACCUGAAACCGUGUACGUACAAGCAGUGGGAGCACGCUUAGGCGUGUGACUGCGUACCUUUUGUAUAAUGGGUCAGCGACUUAUAUUCUGUAGCAAGGUUAACCGAAUAGGGGAGCCGAAGGGAAACCGAGUCUUAACUGGGCGUUAAGUUGCAGGGUAUAGACCCGAAACCCGGUGAUCUAGCCAUGGGCAGGUUGAAGGUUGGGUAACACUAACUGGAGGACCGAACCGACUAAUGUUGAAAAAUUAGCGGAUGACUUGUGGCUGGGGGUGAAAGGCCAAUCAAACCGGGAGAUAGCUGGUUCUCCCCGAAAGCUAUUUAGGUAGCGCCUCGUGAAUUCAUCUCCGGGGGUAGAGCACUGUUUCGGCAAGGGGGUCAUCCCGACUUACCAACCCGAUGCAAACUGCGAAUACCGGAGAAUGUUAUCACGGGAGACACACGGCGGGUGCUAACGUCCGUCGUGAAGAGGGAAACAACCCAGACCGCCAGCUAAGGUCCCAAAGUCAUGGUUAAGUGGGAAACGAUGUGGGAAGGCCCAGACAGCCAGGAUGUUGGCUUAGAAGCAGCCAUCAUUUAAAGAAAGCGUAAUAGCUCACUGGUCGAGUCGGCCUGCGCGGAAGAUGUAACGGGGCUAAACCAUGCACCGAAGCUGCGGCAGCGACGCUUAUGCGUUGUUGGGUAGGGGAGCGUUCUGUAAGCCUGCGAAGGUGUGCUGUGAGGCAUGCUGGAGGUAUCAGAAGUGCGAAUGCUGACAUAAGUAACGAUAAAGCGGGUGAAAAGCCCGCUCGCCGGAAGACCAAGGGUUCCUGUCCAACGUUAAUCGGGGCAGGGUGAGUCGACCCCUAAGGCGAGGCCGAAAGGCGUAGUCGAUGGGAAACAGGUUAAUAUUCCUGUACUUGGUGUUACUGCGAAGGGGGGACGGAGAAGGCUAUGUUGGCCGGGCGACGGUUGUCCCGGUUUAAGCGUGUAGGCUGGUUUUCCAGGCAAAUCCGGAAAAUCAAGGCUGAGGCGUGAUGACGAGGCACUACGGUGCUGAAGCAACAAAUGCCCUGCUUCCAGGAAAAGCCUCUAAGCAUCAGGUAACAUCAAAUCGUACCCCAAACCGACACAGGUGGUCAGGUAGAGAAUACCAAGGCGCUUGAGAGAACUCGGGUGAAGGAACUAGGCAAAAUGGUGCCGUAACUUCGGGAGAAGGCACGCUGAUAUGUAGGUGAAGUCCCUUGCGGAUGGAGCUGAAAUCAGUCGAAGAUACCAGCUGGCUGCAACUGUUUAUUAAAAACACAGCACUGUGCAAACACGAAAGUGGACGUAUACGGUGUGACGCCUGCCCGGUGCCGGAAGGUUAAUUGAUGGGGUUAGCGCAAGCGAAGCUCUUGAUCGAAGCCCCGGUAAACGGCGGCCGUAACUAUAACGGUCCUAAGGUAGCGAAAUUCCUUGUCGGGUAAGUUCCGACCUGCACGAAUGGCGUAAUGAUGGCCAGGCUGUCUCCACCCGAGACUCAGUGAAAUUGAACUCGCUGUGAAGAUGCAGUGUACCCGCGGCAAGACGGAAAGACCCCGUGAACCUUUACUAUAGCUUGACACUGAACAUUGAGCCUUGAUGUGUAGGAUAGGUGGGAGGCUUUGAAGUGUGGACGCCAGUCUGCAUGGAGCCGGCCUUGAAAUACCACCCUUUAAUGUUUGAUGUUCUAACGUUGACCCGUGAUCCGGGUUGCGGACAGUGUCUGGUGGGUAGUUUGACUGGGGCGGUCUCCUCCUAAAGAGUAACGGAGGAGCACGAAGGUUGGCUAAUCCUGGUCGGACAUCAGGAGGUUAGUGCAAUGGCAUAAGCCAGCUUGACUGCGAGCGUGACGGCGCGAGCAGGUGCGAAAGCAGGUCAUAGUGAUCCGGUGGUUCUGAAUGGAAGGGCCAUCGCUCAACGGAUAAAAGGUACUCCGGGGAUAACAGGCUGAUACCGCCCAAGAGUUCAUAUCGACGGCGGUGUUUGGCACCUCGAUGUCGGCUCAUCACAUCCUGGGGCUGAAGUAGGUCCCAAGGGUAUGGCUGUUCGCCAUUUAAAGUGGUACGCGAGCUGGGUUUAGAACGUCGUGAGACAGUUCGGUCCCUAUCUGCCGUGGGCGCUGGAGAACUGAGGGGGGCUGCUCCUAGUACGAGAGGACCGGAGUGGACGCAUCACUGGUGUUCGGGUUGUCAUGCCAAUGGCACUGCCCGGUAGCUAAAUGCGGAAGAGAUAAGUGCUGAAAGCAUCUAAGCACGAAACUUGCCCCGAGAUGAGUUCUCCCUGACUCCUUGAGAGUCCUGAAGGAACGUUGAAGACGACGACGUUGAUAGGCCGGGUGUGUAAGCGCAGCGAUGCGUUGAGCUAACCGGUACUAAUGAACCGUGAGGCUUAACCUUACAACGCCGAAGCUGUU